UACAGGCCUACUUAAUAUGCAAUAAUUUUAUAAUAUUAAAUUUUAUAAUUAAGAAUGUAAAUAGAUUUUCAGGCCAUCAUUAGAUUGCAAUUGUUCCCAACACAAAAACUGCAUCCACAGGACUUGGAAGUGCAAUUUACUUUGAUGGUUUAAAAGUUGACGCCCUAUAUAAACCAAAGGAAACUUUUAGAGUUGUUUUUUCCGAAUACUUUCUUCAAUGUGCAACAAUUCUGGAGAGCCAAUGGAAGUAGUUUCUGGUUUCUAUCAUGAAGAGAUUCUGCAGAGCCAAUGGAAUUAGUUUCUGGUUUCUAUCAUGAAGAGGGACAAAGUAGUAGAUGAAAAAAACAAAUACGAGAUCCAAAGCCCCUAUGAUUUUUAAGUAGGAAAAUAUGGGGAUCCCCCGCCAAAAGACGUGAGAGCGAGCUGGAAGCGUGGUCCGACGUUGUUCUGGAAUUAUUGUGCUGGCUAUGAAACUCCCCUCUGGACCCUCACCUUGAGAGGAUCUCAAAAUAGGGAACCCUAGAAUGCUGCUUCAUCAGGCACCUGAUCCCUGUCGUUGUGAUCGCCAGAAGCCACGGUGAUAGGAAUUGGAAUUGGAAAGCCCAAGGAGACAAGGAAAGACUCUCUUCAGUACCAAGUUUCAGAUGCGAUUUAAACCCCGGGCUCUUCCCUCGGAAGAAGCAUAUACAAAAACCAGUGUUUGUUUGAAGACCCGGAUAAAUGGGGUGAAUUGUUCACCUACAAAUCUGCAUCGGAUCAUUGGAUUGGUGAUUCAAAUCGGGUUUGGAUCAGUCUGAAUUGAUGAUCUAUAAAAAUGUUAAAAAAUAAAAAUUAAAAUAUGGGUUUAUUGGAUGGUGAUUUAGAGGGGAUCUAAGAAAAUAUUGGAUAAAUUAAAAAAAAAGAAUAAAAUAUGUACGGGGUGCUUACUAUCUUUGAAUCAGUUUGGUGCUGAUCAAUCCCCACUCGAAUUGGCUAUCCGGAUUGGAACUCCUCUCAAUUUAAAACACUAGCAAAAACUAUUUUUUCCCAUAAUUGCAAAAGAGAAUAAACAUAUAAAGAGAAAAUAAUUGAUUUUGUGGACCUGGGGCUGUAAAACUUCAACUAUAACAUUAUACCUAGUUAUUUAAACCAGUAAAAAAAACUAGUUAUUUAAUGAAAUAAAUUUCCUUGACCCAAGCAUCAUUCGUCUUUGAGAGAGAGCUUCUUGCUUCCAGGUCAGAGAGAUAAGAAAAUCCUGAAGUUGGGAGGCAACGAUUGAUAAGAAAAGAAGGUCGCAUAGUGGAAGGACAGUGAGUGAGAUAAUAAGAGAGAGCGGGUUAAUAGAAAUAAAAUCUAGCAUUCUUAGUAGAAAUAUCGGCAUUUUCUUUUUAAGGCAAUCAUACACAACAAAUGCAAAGAAAGAGAAAAUGCAAAAAAAAAAGGGAAAACUGUGUUUUACAAAAAAAAAUUAUAUAUAGGAAAGUACUAACAAGAUAGAAGAUUGUAUAUUGUAG
rnacentral:lncRNA from 1 species